GGUUAAGCGACUAAGCGUACACGGUGGAUGCCCUGGCAGUCAGAGGCGAUGAAGGACGUGCUAAUCUGCGAAAAGCGUCGGUAAGGUGAUAUGAACCGUUAUAACCGGCGAUGUCCGAAUGGGGAAACCCAGUGUGAUUCGUCACACUAUCGUUAACUGAAUACAUAGGUUAACGAGGCGAACCGGGGGAACUGAAACAUCUAAGUACCCCGAGGAAAAGAAAUCAACCGAGAUUCCCCCAGUAGCGGCGAGCGAACGGGGAGCAGCCCAGAGUCUGAAUCAGCUUGUGUGUUAGUGGAACGGUCUGGAAAGUCCGACGGUACAGGGUGAUAGUCCCGUACACCAAAAUGCACAGGUUGUGAACUCGAAGAGUAGGGCGGGACACGUGGUAUCCUGUCUGAAUAUGGGGGGACCAUCCUCCAAGGCUAAAUACUCCUGACUGACCGAUAGUGAACCAGUACCGUGAGGGAAAGGCGAAAAGAACCCCGGCGAGGGGAGUGAAAAAGAACCUGAAACCGUGUACGUACAAGCAGUGGGAGCACCUUCGGGUGUGACUGCGUACCUUUUGUAUAAUGGGUCAGCGACUUAAUAUUCUGUAGCAAGGUUAACCGUAUAGGGGAGCCGCAGGGAAACCGAGUCUUAACUGGGCGUUAAGUUGCAGGGUAUAGACCCGAAACCCGGUGAUCUAGCCAUGGGCAGGUUGAAGGUUGGGUAACACUAACUGGAGGACCGAACCGACUAAUGUUGAAAAAUUAGCGGAUGACUUGUGGCUGGGGGUGAAAGGCCAAUCAAACCGGGAGAUAGCUGGUUCUCCCCGAAAGCUAUUUAGGUAGCGCCUCGUGAAUUCAUCUUCGGGGGUAGAGCACUGUUUCGGCUAGGGGGUCAUCCCGACUUACCAACCCGAUGCAAACUACGAAUACCGAAGAAUGUUAUCACGGGAGACACACGGCGGGUGCUAACGUCCGUCGUGAAGAGGGAAACAACCCAGACCGCCAGCUAAGGUCCCAAAGUCAUGGUUAAGUGGGAAACGAUGUGGGAAGGCACAGACAGCCAGGAUGUUGGCUUAGAAGCAGCCAUCAUUUAAAGAAAGCGUAAUAGCUCACUGGUCGAGUCGGCCUGCGCGGAAGAUGUAACGGGGCUAAACCAUGCACCGAAGCUGCGGCAGCGACACUAUGUGUUGUUGGGUAGGGGAGCGUUCUGUAAGCCUGCGAAGGUGACCUGUGAGGGUUGCUGGAGGUAUCAGAAGUGCGAAUGCUGACAUAAGUAACGAUAAAGCGGGUGAAAAGCCCGCUCGCCGGAAGACCAAGGGUUCCUGUCCAACGUUAAUCGGGGCAGGGUGAGUCGACCCCUAAGGCGAGGCCGAAAGGCGUAGUCGAUGGGAAACAGGUUAAUAUUCCUGUACUUGGUGUUACUGCGAAGGGGGGACGGAGAAGGCUAUGUUAGCCGGGCGACGGUUGUCCCGGUUUAAGCAUGUAGGCUGGUUAUCCAGGCAAAUCCGGAUAAUCAAGGCUGAGGUGUGAUGACGAGGCACUACGGUGCUGAAGUAACAAAUGCCCUGCUUCCAGGAAAAGCCUCUAAGCAUCAGGUAACAUCAAAUCGUACCCCAAACCGACACAGGUGGUCAGGUAGAGAAUACCAAGGCGCUUGAGAGAACUCGGGUGAAGGAACUAGGCAAAAUGGUGCCGUAACUUCGGGAGAAGGCACGCUGGUGUGUAGGUGAAGUCCCUGCGGAUGGAGCUGAGACCAGUCGAAGAUACCAGCUGGCUGCAACUGUUUAUUAAAAACACAGCACUGUGCAAACACGAAAGUGGACGUAUACGGUGUGACGCCUGCCCGGUGCCGGAAGGUUAAUUGAUGGGGUUAUCCGUAAGGAGAAGCUCUUGAUCGAAGCCCCGGUAAACGGCGGCCGUAACUAUAACGGUCCUAAGGUAGCGAAAUUCCUUGUCGGGUAAGUUCCGACCUGCACGAAUGGCGUAAUGAUGGCCAGGCUGUCUCCACCCGAGACUCAGUGAAAUUGAACUCGCUGUGAAGAUGCAGUGUACCCGCGGCAAGACGGAAAGACCCCGUGAACCUUUACUAUAGCUUGACACUGAACAUUGAGCCUUGAUGUGUAGGAUAGGUGGGAGGCUUUGAAGCGUGGACGCCAGUCUGCGUGGAGCCAACCUUGAAAUACCACCCUUUAAUGUUUGAUGUUCUAACGUUGGCCCCUUAUCGGGGUUGCGGACAGUGUCUGGUGGGUAGUUUGACUGGGGCGGUCUCCUCCCAAAGCGUAACGGAGGAGCACGAAGGUUAGCUAAUCCUGGUCGGACAUCAGGAGGUUAGUGCAAUGGCAUAAGCUAGCUUGACUGCGAGCGUGACGGCGCGAGCAGGUGCGAAAGCAGGUCAUAGUGAUCCGGUGGUUCUGAAUGGAAGGGCCAUCGCUCAACGGAUAAAAGGUACUCCGGGGAUAACAGGCUGAUACCGCCCAAGAGUUCAUAUCGACGGCGGUGUUUGGCACCUCGAUGUCGGCUCAUCACAUCCUGGGGCUGAAGUAGGUCCCAAGGGUAUGGCUGUUCGCCAUUUAAAGUGGUACGCGAGCUGGGUUUAGAACGUCGUGAGACAGUUCGGUCCCUAUCUGCCGUGGGCGCUGGAGAAUUGAGGGGGGCUGCUCCUAGUACGAGAGGACCGGAGUGGACGCAUCACUGGUGUUCGGGUUGUCAUGCCAAUGGCACUGCCCGGUAGCUAAAUGCGGAAGAGAUAAGUGCUGAAAGCAUCUAAGCACGAAACUUGCCCCGAGAUGAGUUCUCCCUGAGACUUUAAGUCUCCUGAAGGAACGUUGAAGACGACGACGUUGAUAGGCCGGGUGUGUAAGCGCAGCGAUGCGUUGAGCUAACCGGUACUAAUGAACCGUGAGGCUUAACCUU
rnacentral:rRNA from 1 species